CCUACGGGUGGCAGCAGUGAGGAAUAUUGGUCAAUGGCCGUAAGGCUGAACCAGCCAAGUAGCGUGAGGGAAGACUGCCCUAUGGGUUGUAAACCUCUUUUAUGCGGGGAUAAAGGUGUCCACGUGUGGAUGUUUGCAGGUACCGCAUGAAUAAGGACCGGCUAAUUCCGUGCCAGCAGCCGCGGUAAUACGGAAGGUCCGGGCGUUAUCCGGAUUUAUUGGGUUUAAAGUGAGCGUAGGCGGGUCUUUAAGCGUGCCGUGAAAUUUUGUGGCUCAACCAUGGGAGUGCGGCGCGAACUGGCGACCUGGAGUGCGCGGAAGGCAGGCGGAAUUCGUGGUGUAGCGGUGAAAUGCUUAGAUAUCACGAAGAACCCCGAUGGCGAAGGCAGCCUGCUGCAGCGUUACUGACGCUGAAGCUCGAAAGCGCGGGUAGCGAAUAGGAUUAGAUACCCGUGUAGUC
rnacentral:rRNA from 1 species